rnacentral:rRNA from 1 species
UACGGGGGGGGCAAGCGUUGUUCGGAAUUACUGGGCGUAAAGGGCUCGUAGGCGGCCAACUAAGUCAAACGUAAAAUCCCUCGGCUUAACCGGGGAACUGCGCUUGAUACUGGAUGGCUUGAGAUUGGGAGAGGGAUGCGGAAUUCCAGGUGUAGCGGUGAAAUGCGUAGAUAUCUGGAGGAACACCGGUGGCGAAGGCGGCAUCCUGGACCAACACUGACGCUGAGGAGCGAAAGCCAGGGGAGCAAACGGG